CCCACGGGCCGCUGCCGCCGCCGCCCACGGGACUCCGCCAGCGGCCGCGCCGUGCGCCACAGCUCGGAGGGUCCUGCAGCCGCACGGAGCCUCAGCGACCCGUCCCCAGCACCCCGACGCCCAUCCGCGCUGGGCUUCCGCUGCAGGAGGCGGCCCGGCCCGCAGCCCGAGAGUGAGAGAGAGAGGUCUGAAGAAUGAUAGAUUAAUCUGGGAAGGUGAAUGACGCUAAAGGUGGAAAUACAAUAGCAGAAUACUAACAAAUUGAGAGGAUGGAGGGAAGAUGUGAUGUGAACAACAAAGAAAAUUACAGAUAAGCAG